rnacentral:rRNA from 1 species
UACGAAGGGGGCUAGCGUUGCUCGGAAUCACUGGGCGUAAAGCGCACGUAGGCGGAUUUGUUAGUCAGGGGUGAAAUCCCGGGGCUCAACCUCGGAACUGCCUUUGAUACUGCAAGUCUCGAGUCCGAUAGAGGUGGGUGGAAUUCCUAGUGUAGAGGUGAAAUUCGUAGAUAUUAGGAAGAACACCGGUGGCGAAGGCGGCCCACUGGAUCGGUACUGACGCUGAGGUGCGAAAGCGUGGGGAGCAAACAGG